AAAAUAGCAGUUAAAGAUAUUGUCGGAAUUGCCAUAAACUGCGACCAGCACUGACGAACAGAGGACGGUCUCCUUGCGGAACUAAGAACGUGGACCUAACCGAUAGUGGCCGUACCAAGGACUUGAAGGAAAACCGGUGCCAGUGGCCGGAAGCAGUCCGUCGGAUGGGAUACUGCUGAAGCGAUCAGCAGCAGCAGCAGCGUCAACAUUACAAAUGCAGCAGUAGUCUCCACCGGAGAACCAGGUAAUUAUUUGACGUGAUAAAGGCCGAGUAGAAACCCAUCCAGUCCGUGCUGGCUGCGAACCGCGGCGAAAUCGCUACCAUGUCUUCCUAGUGUGUAACGAGCUGGGCAUGCCGUCGGUGGCCAUCUACUCCGAGCAGAAUCGCCAGCACAUGCACCGACAGAAGGCCGACGAGUCGUACAUCGAUGGCAAGGGCCUAGCCCCGGUCGAGGUCUGCAACACAUUCCAGAAAUUAUCCGGGUGUGCAAGGAGAACGACGUCGACGACAUGCACCCCGGUUAAGGGUCAUAUCGGUCCAUCACCUAAGGUUGUCCAGCAGAUGGGAGACAAAGUGGCCGCCCGUAAGGCUGCCAUUGAAGCAGGCGUUCUAAUCGUACCGGAAACGGACGGUCCCGUGACUAUCAAGGUGGAAGUGUUGGUUUUUUGCAAGAAGCACGGAUUUCCCGUGAUCUUCAAGGCAGUGUUAAGUGGAAGUAG